ACCCGCCGGGCUGUUCGACGCCACAACCCAAUUAACUGAACUAGAAUUGAAUAAUAAUCGACUUGUUCUCCUACCUGCCGGGAUUUUCGACGCCACAACCAGAUUAACUUACCUGGAUUUGUACGGUAAUGCCAUUGUUCACCUACCUGACGGGCUGUUGAAAGCCACGCCCGAAUUAGCAUACCU